UACGUAGGGUGCGAGCGUUAAUCGGAAUUACUGGGCGUAAAGUGUGCGCAGGUGGCUGAGCAAGUCGAGUGUGAAAUCCCCGGGCUUAACUUGGGAAUUGCGCUCGAAACUACUUGGCUCGAGUGUGGCAGAGGAAGGUGGAAUUCCAGGUGUAGCGGUGAAAUGCGUAGAUAUCUGGAGGAACACCGGUGGCGAAGGCGGCAUCCUGGACCGAUAUUGACGCUGAUGCGCGAAAGCCAGGGGAGCAAACGGG
rnacentral:rRNA from 1 species